GAUCCAGACUCCUACGGGAGGCAGCAGUGAGGAAUAUUGGUCAAUGGCCGGAAGGCUGAACCAGCCAAGCCGCGUGAAGGACGAAGGUGCCAAGCAUUGUAAACUUCUUUUGUCAAGGGACAAAAUCAGGCUCGAGAGCCUGACCGAGGGUACUUGAAGAAAAAGCAUCGGCUAACUCCGUGCCAGCAGCCGCGGUAAUACGGGGGAUGCGAGCGUUAUCCGGAUUUAUUGGGUUUAAAGGGUGCGUAGGCGGAAUGCCAAGUCAGCGGUAAAAGCGGGGGGCAAAACCUCGCGGCGCCGUUGAAACUGGCGUUCUUGAGUGGGCGAGAAGUAUGCGGAAUGCGUGGGGUAGCGGUG
rnacentral:rRNA from 1 species